AGUGAACGCUGGCGGUAGGCCUAACACAUGCAAGUCGAACGGCAGCACAGUAAGAGCUUGCUCUUACGGGUGGCGAGUGGCGGACGGGUGAGGAAUACAUCGGAAUCUACUUUUUCGUGGGGGAUAACGUAGGGAAACUUACGCUAAUACCGCAUACGACCUACGGGUGAAAGCAGGGGAUCUUCGGACCUUGCGCGAUUGAAUGAGCCGAUGUCGGAUUAGCUAGUUGGCGGGGUAAAGGCCCACCAAGGCGACGAUCCGUAGCUGGUCUGAGAGGAGGAUAGGCCACCAGGGAAUUGAACAAGGGUCCAGCCCCCGACGGGGGGCAGCAGUGGGGAAUAUUGGAAAAGGGGCGCAAGCCUGAUCCAGCUAUACCGGGGGGGUAAAGAAGGCCUUCGGGUUGUAAAGCCCUUUUGUUGGGAAAAAAAAGCAGCAGGUUAAUACCCCGCUGUUCUGACGGUACCCAAAGAAUAAGCACCGGCUACCUUCGU
rnacentral:rRNA from 1 species